rnacentral:rRNA from 1 species
GACGAACGCUGGCGGCGUGCUUAACACAUGCAAGUCGAGCGGUAAGGCCCUUUCGGGGGUACACGAGCGGCGAACGGGUGAGUAACACGUGGGUGACCUGCCUUCAGCUCUGGGGAUAAGCCUGGGAAACUGGGUCUAAUACCGGAUAUGACUCCAUGAUGCAUGUUGUGGGGUGGAAAGCUUUUGCGGCUGGAGAUGGGCCCGCGGCCUAUCAGCUUGUUGGUGGGGUGAUGGCCUACCAAGGCGACGACGGGUAGCCGGCCUGAGAGGGCGACCGGCCACACUGGGACUGAGACACGGCCCAGACUCCUACGGGAGGCAGCAGUGGGGAAUCUUGCGCAAUGGGCGAAAGCCUGACGCAGCGACGCCGCGUGAGGGAUGACGGCCUCGG